AAAAAUCAGGCUACAGUGAUUAUGAGGACGUGAAGACUUCUGUACAGCUAACGACGUGAGUUAGAGUGAAACGGUCUUUAAUGCAGAUCUUGAUGGUAGUACCAAAUAAUCAAAUGAGAACUUAGAAGACUGAAUUAUGUACGUGUGUGGGGGGAGAAUGAACUACAAUAUAACAUGAGUGCUUCAAACAUAAGAUAUGUGAGAUGUCCGUUUGCAAGUGGACCUUUCUUCGGAGAGGUCGGCAUAUCGAUAGAGAAUCAGGUUAAUAAUGCUGAAAUAGGACUUAAUUUAUCGUCAUAUUAAUAACA
rnacentral:rRNA from 11 species